GAAAACCCUAAACAAUAUUCACGCACACAACAAGCAGACCCCCUCUCUCUCUCUCUCUCUCGUGUCUUGACUGGCGACCGGAGAUCGGAGCUUCGGCGCCACGUUUUUCUCCGGCGAAUCACUCACCUAUACACCCACACCCUUUUCUCACUCUCUCACGCCGCUCCGACGACCGGAGAUCGAGGUUCCGGCUAGCUCCGCCAUCAUUUUCGACAACCACAACCACUCUCCGACACCCUCCUUGCUUCUCUGAUGAUGACGGCUGAAGAUGAUGUUUCGCUAUGAAGAUGAUCGAAGAUGAUGAUGUUGACGCUGGUUAUGGUUGACGACGACGAUGGUGCCUCGGAACUCCGGAAGCCGUGAUGUAUACGUCCGGUGACGGCGGAGAGUCGCCGGCGACAGUGGCGUCAGGGCAGUGGUGGUAGCUGUGCUAACAGGCCACUUCAUCUCAGAUACGUUCGGUUCAGUCAAGUCCGGCUUAGAUUCAGGCGACACGGUUCAACUCGGUUUGGUUCGGUUCAGGUUCUCCUCGGGUCAGACGUGGUUCGGGUUUCGCAGCGGGUCAACAACUCAACAGUACAAGGUAUCGCAUCUCAAUUCACAGUACAAGCUGUUUAUUGGAUGCUAAGGAAGUUUAUGAUAGGUCGGGUUUGUGACUUACGGUUCUGCUGAUGAGGUCAAUAGUGCAAUUUGAGCCAUAAAUGACGUUGAUCUUGAUGAUAGAAAUAUCGGCCACAAAGGUGUCAGUUUUAAAGAAUUAAAAGGUUAAAUCAAGCAGAGGGCUGAAUAAGAAAGGCGCGCACAUGGUUAUUUAUUGAUCAUGGAAAUUAGGAGAAGGUGAUACAAUUUAUCCGUCAAUAUGAGGUAUUUUGACAAACAUUGAAGUAUUCUAGCCUCUAGGUAGCAUACUAGCAUUUGGAAUUCAGACUACUAGAUACUGAUGAGAAAAAAAAGACACAUCAACAUGUGCAGCUUCACGUGUGUUUAAUUUAACGUAUCAUCAUGGAUACUAUUUACAUUUUGAUUUGUUAAUUUAAUACCAAUCUGUUAGACAAUAGUAUUUAAUUACUACAUCUACAUGUUGAAGUUCAUGUAAAUGACUAUUGUAAUGUAUAGAGGGAAAAUGCAUUCAACAUUUAUUCCACGGGUCAGCAAAUUGGGACGGAAGUAAAUGCAACUAAUUGAGGGAUCAUCUGAGAUGCAAUGACAGAACAAUAGGAUGUACCAGCCAAGAAAACAUUUGCUGCCCUCGCGACGUGCUCAAGUUAGGAAGCGGGCUCUCAGCUCUACUAAUCCUUUGUAUCCAAAAUCAGUUAUGAGGCGCGUAUUUGUCUGUGUUUGUUUCAACGGCUUACAUCCAAUCAAAGCGAACCAUCCUCGGUUUACCUCUUCGCAACAACCUACAUGGAAUGAAAAAUGGAAUGCGAGGAUGACCUAAAUUGGCAGGUCCCGCCGCAACGCGGCGGGUACUUCUACUAGUUGAAAUUAUAUUAUAUAGCCUUUAUUUAGUACACUAUGGCCCCCGGCUUUCACUAUUCCUACAUCCUUAAAUCUUAUUCUAACGAUUUGUUUUUUA